rnacentral:lncRNA from 1 species
UAUCUCAUGACUCUUGAGGGAGUUGAUGAGUUCUUCCAGGCUUAUAUUGUUAAGAUCUUUUGAUAGUUUUAAGGCACUGACCAUAGGUCUCCACUUCUUUAGAAAACUUUUGACAAUCUUUUUGACAUGAUCUGCAAAUCUGUAGCCCUUGUCCAGAACCUUGAGUCCUACAAUUAAAGUUUGAAAUCUAGAAAACAUUACCUCUAAU